UACGUAGGUGACCAGCGUUGUCCGGAUUUACUGGGCGUAAAGAGCGUGUAGGCGGCCAGACAGGUCAGCUGUGAAAACUCGAGGCUCAACCUCGAGACGUCGGUUGAAACCGUUUGGCUAGAGUCCGGAAGAGGAGAGUGGAAUUCCCGGUGUAGCGGUGAAAUGCGCAGAUAUCGGGAAGAACACCCGUGGCGAAGGCGGCUCUCUGGGACGGUACUGACGCUGAGACGCGAAAGCGUGGGGAGCGAACAGG
rnacentral:rRNA from 1 species